rnacentral:rRNA from 1 species
AACGAACGCUGGCGGCAGGCCUAACACAUGCAAGUCGAGCGCCCCGCAAGGGGAGCGGCGGACGGGUGAGUAACGCGUGGGAACGUGCCCUUUGCUACGGAAUAGCCCCGGGAAACUGGGAGUAAUACCGUAUAAGCCCUACGGGGGAAAGAUUUAUCGGCAAAGGAUCGGCCCGCAUUGGAUUAGGUAGUUGGUGGGGUAAUGGCCUACCAAGCCGACGAUCCAUAGCUGGUUUGAGAGGAUGAUCAGCCACACUGGGACUGAGACACGGCCCAGACUCCUACGGGAGGCAGCAGGGGGGAAUCUUAGACAAUGGGCGCAAGCCUGAUCUAGCCAUGCCGCGUGAGCGAUGAAGGCCUUAGGGUUGUAAAGCUCUUUCGUGGGGGAAGAUAAUGACUGUACCCCAAGAAGAAGCCCCGGCUAACUCCGUGCCAGCCGCCGCAGUAAAAC